rnacentral:rRNA from 1 species
GACGAACGCUGGCGGCGUGCUUAACACAUGCAAGUCGAACGGAAAGGCCCUGCUUUUGUUGGUUUCUCGAUUGGCGAACGGGUGAGUAACACGUGAGUAACCUGCCCUUGACUUUGUGAUAACUUCACGAAACUGGGGCUAAUACCGGAUAGGAUCUCCUGCUGCAUGGUGUGGGUUGGAAAGUUUCGGCGUUUGGGGCUGGUAUCGCGGCUUAUCAGCUUGUUUGUGGGGUAGUUGCUUACCAAGGCUUUGACGGAGAGGCGGCCUGAGAGGGUGGACGGCGACAUUGGGACUGAGAUAGGGACCAGAAGCCUACGGGAGGCAGAAGUGGGGAAUAUUGCAGAAUGGGGGGACGCCUGAUGUAGAAACGCCGGGUGCGGGAUGCCGGCUUUCGGGUUGUAAACAGCUGUCGCCUGUGACGAAGAGUGAGUGACGGUAAUGGGUAAAGAAGCACCGGCUAACUACGUG